rnacentral:tRNA from 1 species
GGGCGCAUAGCUCAAUUGGCAGAGCAGCGGACUUUUAAUCCGCGGGUUCAGGGUUCGAGUCCCUGUGCGCCCACCA